rnacentral:lncRNA from 1 species
UAGAUCAAACAAAUAAUAGAAGUCUGUUGAAGCUUUGUCCUGACCUAUCCUGGAAGUAGAAGAAUACUCUGGAGAAAGGAGCAUUGCAAGCACAAAGAAUAAGCUUCCUCAAUCCUGAGAGAGAGAAUUAAAGUCUAACUCUCCAAAUGUCUACUCUAAUGUGAUGCUGGGAUUGAAUUUUCCUAAGACUCCAUUUCAAGGUUGAUUCAAAAGUCUUGUGGAAGAUCUGGAAGAAAUAGGUAAGUGUCCUUUUGGUAAAAAUUCUCUUUUGCUCAUUUUGCUUAUUUU